UACUGGUGGCAGCAGUGAGGAAUAUUGGUCAAUGGGCGAGAGCCUGAACCAGCCAAGUCGCGUGAGGGAGUACUGCCCUAUGGGUUGUAAACCUCUUUUGUCGGGGAGCAAAAGCCGGACGUGUCCGGCUGUGAGAGUACCCGAAGAAAAAGCAUCGGCUAACUCCGUGCCAGCAGCCGCGGUAAUACGGAGGAUGCGAGCGUUAUCCGGAUUUAUUGGGUUUAAAGGGUGCGUAGGCGGAUCGUUAAGUCAGGGGUAAAAUUGAGGGGCUCAACCCCUUCCCGCCAUUGAAACUGGCGCUCUUGAGUGGAAGAGAAGUAUGCGGAAUGCGUGGUGUAGCGGUGAAAUGCAUAGAUAUCACGCAGAACCCCGAUUGCGAAGGCAGCAUGCCGGCUUCCGACUGACGCUGAAGCACGAAAGCGUGGGGAUCGAACAGGAUUAGAUACCCGAGUAGUC
rnacentral:rRNA from 1 species